rnacentral:lncRNA from 1 species
GCAGUCCGGCUCAUUUGUGUCCCCGGGAUCAGGAUGGACUUCCCCAGCACCCUGCGUCCUUCGUUGUUUAUGGCCGGUCCUCUUGGCAUGACUGAUGGCCCCGACUUGUCCUUCAUGUGCAGCUGGAGAGAUGCACUGACCCUGCCAGGGGCCCAGCCACAGAACUGCAGGGACCAGACAUCGUCCUUUGCCAAGAACCUGCUGUGGGAGCCAUCGACACCAGGACCCCUGCCCCUGGUGCCUCCUGGCCCUGGUUCUUCUCUGACUUCCUUCUCCCCUUAGAUCCCUGGGACCCUGGUCUGGCAGCUCAGGACUUCCUCUUCCGGGGAGGUCACUACUACCAGUACCAGUCUCGAGUUGUGCUGGAUGUCACUGAGCAGCUCAGCCGCUUCCUGUGGGACCAUGGGGAUAUAGCCUUUGCACCCCUGGGGAAACUCAUGCUGGAGAACUUCAGAUUGGAGGGGAACCGG